UACGGGGGGAGCAAGCGUUGUUCGGAUUUACUGGGCGUAAAGGGCGCGUAGGCGGCCAGCGCAAGCCAGUUGUGAAAUCUCCGAGCUUAACUCGGAAAGGUCAACUGAUACUGCGCGGCUAGAGUGCAGAAGGGGCAACUGGAAUUCUCGGUGUAGCGGUGAAAUGCGCAGAUAUCGGGAAGAACACCCGUGGCGAAGGCGGUUCUCUGGGACGGUACUGACGCUGAGACGCGAAAGCGUGGGGAGCGAACAGG
rnacentral:rRNA from 1 species